rnacentral:tRNA from 1 species
AAACCUUUAAGUUUAAAACAAAUGUUUUGAAAACAUUAUUAGGGCCUAGACCCAAGGGUUA